rnacentral:rRNA from 1 species
AUGGCAAUUGCAGCACUGCCCCUCCUUCUCGUCGCCGUCUUCUUCCUCGCGUGCUCCGUCGCCACUCACGCGCUGCCCGGCGCACCGGAGCCCGCUGCCGCUGCUGCCAGCGUCGCGGAUUACAACGCGCUGCUCUCCUUCAGGUCGCUCGUGCGGGGCGACCCGUCACGGGCCCUGGCGUCAUGGACGAGCAGCGCCCACAACGGGUCCGCGCCAGCGCCGUGCCAGUGGCGCGGCGUGUCCUGCGGCACGAGGGGCCGCCGCCGCGGCCGGGUCGUCGCGCUGGACCUCCCCGGGCUCGGCCUCCUCGGCACGCUCACCCCGGCGCUGGCCAACCUCACGCACCUGAGGCGGCUCCACCUCCCCGGCAACCGCCUCCAGGGCGCGCUGCCGCCGGAGCUCGGCCGCCUGCGCGAGCUCAACCACCUCAACCUCAGCGACAACGCCAUCGGGGGCCGCCUCCCGCCGUCGCUCUCCCGCUGCAGGCGGCUCAAGACCGUCCUGCUCCACACCAACAAGCUGCAGGGGCACAUCCCGCCGGAGCUGUUCGGCUCGCUUCGGAGCCUCGAGGUGCUCAACCUCGGCCAGAACAGGCUCACAGGAGGCAUCCCUUCCGGCAUCGGCGGCCUCGUCAACCUCAAGCUGCUGGUCCUGGAGUUCAACAACCUGACAGGGGAUAUCCCAUGGCAGGUCGGCAGCCUCGCCAGCCUCGUCGGCCUCGGCCUCGCGUCCAACCAGCUGUCAGGCUCCAUCCCCGCCUCGCUGGGGAACCUGUCGGCGCUGACCGCUCUCACCGCCUUCUCGAACCGGCUGUCGGGGAGCAUACCCUCCUCAUUACAGGGCCUGUCAUCCCUCAGCACGCUCCAUUUGGAAGACAACAGCCUUGGAGGAACCAUCCCUUCUUGGCUAGGCAACCUCUCGUCGCUGGCAUCCUUAAACCUCCAGAGCAACGGCUUUGUGGGGCGCAUCCCGGAGUCUAUAGGGAACCUUGGGUUGCUUGAAGCCGUUUCGUUCGCGGAGAACAAGCUUGUCGGCAAGAUCCCGGACGCCAUUGGGAACCUCCAUGCCCUCGCUGAGCUUUACCUAAACAACAAUGAGCUAGAAGGCCCUCUGCCACUCUCAGUUUUCAACCUCUCCUCCCUUGAGAUGCUCAACAUCCAGCACAACAACCUCACCGGGGGCUUUCCGCUUGACAUGGGCGACACGAUGACGAGUCUCCAGUCCUUUCUUGUGUCUGAUAACCAGUUUCAUGGCGUGAUCCCGCCGUCCUUGUGCAAUGCCUCCAUGCUCCAGAUGGUUCAGACAGUAAACAACUUCCUGUCAGGAACGAUCCCGCAGUGCCUGGGGGCUCGCCAAGAGAUGCUCUCUGUGGUGAACUUUGCGGGGAAUCAGCUUGAAGCAACCAACGAUGCUGAAUGGGGCUUCCUGGCCAGUCUGACCAACUGCAGCAAUAUGAUAUUGGUGGAUGUUAGUGACAACAAGCUCCAAGGCGUGCUACCGAAAUCAAUCGGCAAUUUGUCGACACAGAUGGAGUUUCUUGGCAUUGCAUCCAACAGCAUAGCAGGGACGAUAACUGAAUCGGUAGGGAACUUCAUCAACCUGGAUGAACUUCACAUGGAAAAUAAUCUUCUCCAGGGCACCAUCCCAGCAUCUCUCGGCAAGCUUACGAAGUUGAAUCGGUUGUCUCUGUCAAAUAACAACUUGUCAGGAUCCAUCCCUGUGGCUCUUGGAAAUCUUACAAAGCUUACAACCCUUCUGCUUAGUACUAAUGCGCUCAGUGGAGCCAUCCCUUCUGCUCUCAGCAACUGUCCUUUAGAGCAGCUGGAUCUUUCUUACAACAAUCUUUCCGGCCCAACGCCUAAGGAGCUUUUCCUCAUCUCAAGCUUGUCGAGUACCAUGUAUCUUGCACACAAUUCACUGACUGGGACUUUGCCUUCAGAAGUGGGAAAUCUCAGGAAUCUAGGUGAACUUGACCUCUCUGACAAUAUGAUCUCAGGAAAGAUUCCUACAAAUAUUGGGGAGUGUCGAAGCUUACAGUACCUCAAUUUAUCUGGGAACCAUCUCGACGGGACAAUUCCGCUGUCACUAGGACAGUUACGGGGCCUCCUAGUGCUUGAUCUUUCUCGGAAUAAUUUAUCUGGGAGCAUUCCUGAGUUCCUCGGAACCAUGAAAGGUCUUGCUAGUUUGAAUCUCUCUUCCAAUGAUUUUGAAGGUGAAGUUCCGGAAGACGGAAUAUUCCUCAAUGCAACUGCAACCUCAGUCAUGGGAAACAAUGCUCUAUGUGGUGGGAUCCCUCAACUCAAGUUGAAAAUGUGCUCCAGUCCCACUAAAAGGAGAAUAUCUUCAAAGCUUCUCAUGAUUAUUGCAGCAGGCGCCGGAAUUCUGUUGGUCAUACUAUCCGCAAUGUUUGUGUUAUGUAAAAGAGGCAGGCUUAGAAGAGCAAAGCCACAGAUAACUCUCCCCAAUGACAAAUACAUCAGAGUUUCUUAUGCUGAAUUGGCCAAGGCAACAGAUGGUUUCACAUCCGAGAACCUCAUCGGGGUUGGCAGCUUUGGUGCAGUGUACAAGGGAAGAAUGGAAAUCUCUGGCCAACAAGUGGUGGUGGCAGUGAAGGUACUGAACCUGCAGCAUGCUGGCGCAUCCCGAAGUUUCGAUGCGGAAUGUGAGGCUUUGAGAUGUAUUCGCCACCGUAACCUUGUGAAGGUUAUAACAGUGUGCUCAAGUAUUAACUCCCAAGGUGGCGACUUCAAGGCUCUUGUGUUUGAGUUUCUGCCAAAUGGAAAUCUAGACCAGUGGCUACACAAGCAUAUCGAGGAAGAUGAUGAACCCAAGAUGCUAGAUGUCAUUGAAAGACUUCAGAUAGCCAUCCACGUGGCUUCUGCGCUUGACUAUUUACAUCAUCAGAAGCCGUUUCCAAUUGUUCACUGCGACCUCAAGCCAAGCAAUAUUAUCCUCGACAACGACAUGGUUGCUCAUGUCGGUGAUUUUGGGCUUGCAAGGUUCCUACAUGACGGACAUAAUGACAAGUCAGAGACACCAACUAGUAGUCGGACCGCAAUAAGAGGAACAAUUGGUUAUGUGGCUCCAGAAUAUGGACUUGGCAAUGAAGCUUCAGUCCAUGGUGAUGUCUACAGCUACGGUAUACUGCUGCUCGAGAUGUUCACCGGUAAAAGACCCACAAGUUCUGAAUUCGGAGAAGUGCUUAGCCUUCAUAAGCACGUACAAAUGGCACUGCCAGACCAAGCGGCUACUGUCAUUGACCAAGACCUAUUAAAAGCAGAAAGUAAUGGCAAAGGGACAGAAGGGGGGUAUCACAGCAGUGAAGACAUGAGAAUUAGUUGCAUCGUCUCGAUUCUGCAGGUUGGAAUUUCAUGCUCCAAGGAGACGCCAACUGAACGCAUUCAAAUUGGAGAUGCAUUGAGAGAGUUGCAGAUAAUCAGAGAUAAGUUUUACGCGCAUUAG